rnacentral:rRNA from 1 species
GACGAACGCUGGCGGCGUGCUUAACACAUGCAAGUCGAACGGUGAAGCUCCAGCUUGCUGGAGUGGAUCAGUGGCGAACGGGUGAGUAACACGUGAGCAACCUGCCCCUGACUCUGGAAUAAGCGCUGGAAACGGCGUCUAAUACUGGAUACGAGAAGGGUCCGCAUGGGCACUUUCUGGAAAGUUUUUCGGUUGGGGAUGGGCUCGCGGCCUAUCAGCUUGUUGGUGAGGUAAUGGCUCACCAAGGCGACGACGGGUAGCCGGCCUGAGAGGGCGACCGGCCACACUGGGACUGAGACACGGCCCAGACUCCUACGGGAGGCAGCAGUGGGGAAUAUUGCACAAUGGGCGAAAGCCUGAUGCAGCGACGCCGCGUGAGGGAUGACGGCCUUCGGGUUGUAAACCUCUUUCAGCAGGGAAGAAGCGAAAGUGACGGUACCUGCGGAAGAAGCACCGGCUAACUACGUG